UCUUCUAGCCAUGUUUCAUUUAGAAACAAAAUCCAGGUUGUCCAACCCAUUCUCACUCCCGAGGCGUCAAAAACUGCAGAACGGUCAAGUGUCUCUAGCGUCACUAUGAAGAUGUCAACAGCGCCCCUCGGCGUCACUAUAUCGACGAACUGGGACCUACAUUGAUUUCAAUGGGAAACUUUUGGCGUCAGAACACAGACUCGAAGGACAUGAGAUGAUCGCUAUGAAAUCACGUUCAGGAAGUCUCAUUCAGCACACAUGGCGAUAUUUGCCAUUAGUUUACGUGUGCGGCAGGUUGGGUGAGUAGUCGUAAAUACGCUGUCUUAAUGUUUGUUUUAAACUGUAUCCUGUCUUUUUUAUUAGUCAGAUUAGCGCCGUAUGUUUAUUCGCUUAAUUAUAUCCGUCUUUGCGUUUCAUUGCGUUUAACUAAUCGAACACACCUGCUAACUGGAGCGAUUAAACUCUGUCACGUGACGUCAUAGACCUUCGAUCAGAUUUAUAUCAUGUUCAAAGAUGGAAGUUGUAUUUGUAGUAAAAUCAUAGUAACCACAACACUAACAACAGUUGUUGCAAGUUAUACUGUGAUAUUUUAAGUUAAAACACCGUAAACAUGACACUUACCAUGUUUUUACCACAGUACCUGUAGUUGUACUGUGAUAUUUGAAGUUAAAACAUAGUAAACAUGACACUUA